ACUAAAGUAAAUUUGAUUAAGAUAUACUAAUAAAUUUUAUUAAAAUAUUUUAUAAAAUAUUCAGAUUACUCAUAUAGCUUUCCUAGAAAUAAGCAAAGUGCUUGAGGCCAGUCAGAUGCUUAUUACGAGUCGGGUAUACUAUUCAGUUUGACUUUGUUUUCCAAUGGGACAAAAAAGACAUAGAACGAGCGGAAAGCUCAAAAUUGCGACAAAUUAAAAAGUGAUUGACCAAGUAGGAUAUAAUACGCCAAAAUCACUAAUACCAGAGUGAGAAAGUAUAGUGCAUAUUCUCAUCCUGGUGAGUUCAAAUAAAGAAGAGGGAAUAACGAGUUGUUCAUUUUAAGGCAAAACUGUACUUACCUACAUAUCCCAUUCUACUUGAUCUACUAAAGAUGUAUUUCCUACAUGUAUGUUUAACUUAAUUAUAACU